rnacentral:rRNA from 1 species
CCUACGGGUGGCAGCAGUGAGGAAUAUUGGACAAUGGGCGCGAGCCUGAACCAGCCAAGUAGCGUGAGGGAAGACGGUCCUAUGGAUUGUAAACCUCUUUUGUAGGGGAGCAAAAGAAGGCACGCGUGGCGUUCCGAGAGUACCCGAAGACAAAGCAUCGGCUAACUACGUGCCAGCAGCCGUGGUAAUACGGAGGAUGCGAGCGUUAUCCGGUUGUAUUGGGUUAAAAGAGUGCGCAGGCGGAAGAUCAAUUCAGCGGUAAAAUUGAGAGGCUCAACCUCUUCGAGCCGUUGAAACUGGUUUUCUUGAGUGAGCGAGAUGUAUGCGGAAUGCGUGGUGUAGCGGUGAAA